CGGAGACUUCUCCGUCGGCUUCUGCUCCGUCGAAGCUCUCGACAACGCCCAAGUCAGGAUGAUUCUUGGUGGCGUCGUCGUAAACGGAGGAUGUGCAAACAGAGAGUCGAGACAGAGAGGUACGGAUCUGGUGGAAUCCAGCGUCUUCUUCGACGACUGGAAAUGAAGACAUCAUCAUCAAGCUCUCGUCCAAUGCCAUGAGAGGGAUGAAGAAGAAGAAGAAGAAGUUAAAGAGGAAAGUGAAGAGAUUGCCGUUUAUUAUAGUUAUGAUGAAACUAACUCUCUCACACUCUCUUUUUAUGGAAAACGAUUUGGUAGAACUCAUCAGUCGCCUCGUGUUUAGGUUCACUUUUGAAUUUAUGCAGUGUGCUUAGAUGGGACGUUACCUGGCUACCAUCUAGAUCGUGGGUUUGGUUCAGGUGCUAACAGUUGGCUUAUCCAUCUUGAGGUAUCUGACACCUUUGACAUCUCUCUCAUGUAAUCUUGGACCAUUUGCUAUAGUUUAGUAAACAAUGCAAUUUUCUGUUUAUUUAAGUACUUGACUUGACUUGACUUAGAAGUUAGAAGCUGAAUAUCACUUAUUAAUUAGGGUGGAGGAUGGUGUAACAAUCGUAGUAGCUGUGUGUUUCGAAAAACAACUCGGCGUGGCUCCUCUAAGUUCAUGGAGAAAGCUUUGAACUUCACUGGGAUAUUGAGCAAUAAACCUCAAGAGAAUCCUGGUUUGUCCCCAAUAUCAUCAUCAUGAGUUUUGUCAUGUCAUGUGAUUAUAAAUGCACUAUUAUUAUCUUAAUUCUGUUUAUCUGUAGACUUCUUUAACUGGAACAGAAUCAAGUUGCGCUACUGUGAUGGUGCUUCUUUCUCUGGGGAUAGUCAGGACGAGGUUAGUUAUACUUUGUUUCAUAUUUUGUCUUUAUAAUUCGUUACAACGACCUUCUAUUCAUAGGAUUCACAAAUUUUCUAUCGAGGAAAACGAAUCUGGCAAGCGGCGGUGGAAGAGUUCAUGUCUUUAGGGAUGCAGAAAGCAGAACAGGUCUUUAUAUUUUGAUUUUGCUCUGCUUUUAUGUUCUGUUUCUCUUCUUAUCCAAUCUUAUCACUUUGCAAGUGUACAGGCUCUGCUUUCUGGUUGUUCAGCCGGAGGGUUAGCUUCAACCCUGCACUGUGAUGACUUCAGGGAACGAUUACCUCUUUCUACAAAAGUAAAGUGCUUAAGUGAUGCUGGAAUGUUCCUGGACGCGUAAGUAAAUCUCUUCAACUUUUGCCUUUUCUGUUUAGGAGAAAUAUUAUUUUCUAUCGAACUUAAAAUGUUUGAUGGGAAAUGCAGAGUGGAUGUCUCUGGGGGACACUCGCUAAGGAACAUGUUCCAAGGUGUUGUUACAGUCCAGGUACUAUCAGAUUUUAUAUACAACUUAAACAUUAUUAUAUGCUUAUUGUAGCUCACUUAAUACUUCUAAUUUAUAGAACCUCCAAAAGGACUUGUCCAGUGCAUGUACAAACCAUUUGGAUCCUACUUCGGUACAUACCUUUCACUUUAUUAAUAUCAAUGUUUGAUCAAAUCCUUUAACGUUAUUCUUUGUGCCGUUUCUCUUCAGUGCUUCUUUCCACAGAACUUGGUUUCAGACAUCAAAACUCCUAUGUUUCUUCUCAACGCAGCUUAUGACUCAUGGCAGGUAAAUAAUCAUGCGUCUUUCUUGUAUCUAGCUCUUAAUCUAAUCCGACAAUGUUUCCUCAGGUUAGACAGAGCUUAGCUCCUUCACCUGCUGAUCCAAGAGGCGUCUGGAAGCAUUGCAAAUCAGAUAUCUCGCGCUGUAAUUCAUCACAGCUUCAAUUCUUACAAGGUGCAAAGUUUAAACUCAAAGUUUAUUAGUAAUUUCACUGUCGCACUCUCUACACACUGAUGUUUUCUAUGUCCUUACACAAAAUAGAAUUCAGGAAAGAAAUGGUGCUUGCAUUAAACUCAUUCUCAGCAUCUCCUCAGAACGGUGUUUUCAUAAACUCUUGCUUCACUCAUUGUCAGUCUGAGAUACAGGACACUUGGUUUGCUCAAGACUCUCCCAAGCUAAACGGAAAAGUAAGACUUCCCUCCAUGCGAUUUAUAUCUCAUUUUAGCAAUGACAUCAAGUUUGUUAAACUCUGCUCAUGACAUGAUUGUCUUUUUUGGUUUGGCAGAGAGUCGCAGAGUCUGUAGGUGAUUGGUACUUCGACCGAUCCAACAAUGUUAAAGACAUUGACUGUCCUUACCCAUGCGACAAAACAUGUCACCAUCUGAUUUUCCAAUGAGUAAAUCUUUGUGUUACCUGAUAAUCUAUUAAAAUAAGCUUUAUGCAGUGUUGAUCAAACAGCUUACUUCAAAGAUUUGAUCUCCUCUCCUUAGUGCUUCUUUGGUCCCUCUAGUGUUUGACAAAACUCUUACCUCAGAUUCUCUAGCUUAGUAGGUAUAGAGUCAGAAACCUUAUUCUUUUCAUACCUCUUUAAGUUAUUUAUAACCAUUUGCUUCAAAAUCUCGAAUCUAAAGUUAGUGACAAAAUCCAUGUCAUUACAAAGAAUAGAAUAUCAAAAUGAAAAUGAAUAAAAGGUAAAGAACAUAUUCCUUUAUUCAUUGGACUCUAUUACAAAACGUCCGAAUCUCAAAAACAGAUCAUGAGCUCUGCUUUUCAUGUCAAAAGUCUAAACCUUUGUUCUGUUCUGUGAGGUCUUCCUAUUGUACAUAGCACUUUAUCUUUCACCUUUGUGUACCACAGUGAAUCGCACGUUAGGGUUACACGUUGCUAUUUCCAUCAUCCAUGUAACAACUGCUGAUUAAGCUCGUAAAUCUCAUAAAAACCCAUUAAAAACAUCAAAAACCCUAAAAGUUAAGCAAUUACUUGAACCAAAAGCAAGAGGACAAAAGUGAAAAAAAAAAAAAAACCUAAAAAAGAGGGGAAAGAUAUAUUAAGAAGCUAAUUAGCUUGACGUGACGAAGAAGCUAACGCUACAGCUUGUGCCCACACCUUGAGUCUCGCCUUAACCUCCUUCGGGUCAUCACCGGGGCUCGAGAUGCGCCACGUGGCGAUCGGAGAGUUGCUGCCACUACUAGUCUGAGUAUCGAAAUUCGACCCGGCUGACACAGAGAUCCGACCCGGAACCUCUAAGUCGAACCCGAGAUCUCUACAAGCUUUCACUUCCUCUAGCCCCAUCCUCAGCGACUUCUCUCCUCCUUUAGCUCUCGUUAACACCGUUAACCCCAAUCCACCACCGCCGUCACUCUCUCCGUCAGCGCCGUUAAAGCCGUGACCUUUCUUCUUCUUCUCCCUGAGCACCCUCCUCUGCCUCCGUGAGCUACUACUCUUACCGCCGUCUCUGCUACUCUCGUUCGCGUCUAUAUCUCCGGUGACUGUGUUUUUUCUUCUCCGGUGAGUAAAUCUUUGUGUUACCUGAUAAUCUAUUAAAAUAAGCUUUAUGCAGUGUUGAUCAAACAGCUUACUUCAAAGAUUUGAUCUCCUCUCCUUAGUGCUUCUUUGGUCCCUCUAGUGUUUGACAAAACUCUUACCUCAGAUUCUCUAGCUUAGUAGGUAUAGAGUCAGAAACCUUAUUCUUUUCAUACCUCUUUAAGUUAUUUAUAACCAUUUGCUUCAAAAUCUCGAAUCUAAAGUUAGUGACAAAAUCCAUGUCAUUACAAAGAAUAGAAUAUCAAAAUGAAAAUGAAUAAAAGGUAAAGAACAUAUUCCUUUAUUCAUUGGACUCUAUUACAAAACGUCCGAAUCUCAAAAACAGAUCAUGAGCUCUGCUUUUCAUGUCAAAAGUCUAAACCUUUGUUCUGUUCUGUGAGGUCUUCCUAUUGUACAUAGCACUUUAUCUUUCACCUUUGUGUACCACAGUGAAUCGCACGUUAGGGUUACACGUUGCUAUUUCCAUCAUCCAUGUAACAACUGCUGAUUAAGCUCGUAAAUCUCAUAAAAACCCAUUAAAAACAUCAAAAACCCUAAAAGUUAAGCAAUUACUUGAACCAAAAGCAAGAGGACAAAAGUGAAAAAAAAAAAAAAACCUAAAAAAGAGGGGAAAGAUAUAUUAAGAAGCUAAUUAGCUUGACGUGACGAAGAAGCUAACGCUACAGCUUGUGCCCACACCUUGAGUCUCGCCUUAACCUCCUUCGGGUCAUCACCGGGGCUCGAGAUGCGCCACGUGGCGAUCGGAGAGUUGCUGCCACUACUAGUCUGAGUAUCGAAAUUCGACCCGGCUGACACAGAGAUCCGACCCGGAACCUCUAAGUCGAACCCGAGAUCUCUACAAGCUUUCACUUCCUCUAGCCCCAUCCUCAGCGACUUCUCUCCUCCUUUAGCUCUCGUUAACACCGUUAACCCCAAUCCACCACCGCCGUCACUCUCUCCGUCAGCGCCGUUAAAGCCGUGACCUUUCUUCUUCUUCUCCCUGAGCACCCUCCUCUGCCUCCGUGAGCUACUACUCUUACCGCCGUCUCUGCUACUCUCGUUCGCGUCUAUAUCUCCGGUGACUGUGUUUUUUCUUCUCCGGCGAGGUGGAGUCGCCGGGAGGGAGUAAAACCGUGGCGUCUCUUUGUCGGAGUCAGACUCUCGAACGUUCUCUUUUCCUCCUCCACCGCCGUCUUCGGAGACUUCUCCGUCGGCUUCUGCUCCGUCGAAGCUCUCGACAACGCCCAAGUCAGGAUGAUUCUUGGUGGCGUCGUCGUAAACGGAGGAUGUGCAAACAGAGAGUCGAGACAGAGAGGUACGGAUCUGGUGGAAUCCAGCGUCUUCUUCGACGACUGGAAAUGAAGACAUCAUCAUCAAGCUCUCGUCCAAUGCCAUGAGAG
rnacentral:lncRNA from 1 species